ncrna:Oryza sativa miR444b stem-loop (osa-MIR444b)
GAUGGUGACAAGCUUGUGGCAGCAACUGCACAUCUUGCAAGAAAAUCUUUAGGGUUUUUCAGACCAUACCGAUGAUUUUCUUGCAAGUUGUGCAGUUGUUGUCUCAAGCUUGCUGCCUCC